CCUACGGGUGGCUGCAGUAGGGAAUAUUGCUCAAUGGGGGAAACCCUGAAGCAGUAACGCCGCGUGGAGGAUGAAGGUUUUAGGAUUGUAAACUCCUUUGUGAGAGAAGAUAAUGACGGUAUCCCACGAAUAAGCACCGGCUAACUCCGUGCCAGCAGCCGCGGUUAUACGGAGGGUGGAAGCGUUUCUCGGGAUUACCGGGCGUAAAGAGGGCGCAGGCGGGCUUGUAAGUCAGAUGUGAAAUCCUGUAGCUUAACUACAGAACUGCAGUUGAAACUAUGAGUCGAGAGUGUGGGGGAGGUAGGUGGAAUUCUUCGUGUAGGGGUAAAAGCCGUAGAUAUCAAGAGGAAUACUCAUUGCGAAGGCGACCUACUGGAACAUUACUGACGCUCAUGCACGAAAGCGUGGGGAGCAAACAGGAUUAGAUACCCGUGUAGUC
rnacentral:rRNA from 1 species